rnacentral:rRNA from 1 species
UACGUAGGGCGCAAGCGUUGUCCGGAAUUAUUGGGCGUAAAGAGCUCGUAGGCGGUUCGUCGCGUCGGCUGUGAAAUCCCGAGGCUCAACCUCGGGUCUGCAGUCGAUACGGGCGGACUGGAGUUCGGCAGGGGAGACUGGAAUUCCUGGUGUAGCGGUGAAAUGCGCAGAUAUCAGGAGGAACACCGGUGGCGAAGGCGGGUCUCUGGGCCGAUACUGACGCUGAGGAGCGAAAGCGUGGGGAGCAAACAGG